rnacentral:rRNA from 1 species
AUGCAAGUCGAACGGUAACAUUUCUAGCUUGCUAGAAGAUGACGAGUGGCGGACGGGUGAGUAAUGCUUGGGAACUUGCCUUUGCGAGGGGGAUAACAGUUGGAAACGACUGCUAAUACCGCAUAAUGUCUUCGGACCAAACGGGGCUUCGGCUCCGGCGCAGAGAGAGGCCCAAGUGAGAUUAGCUAGUUGGUGAGGUAAAGGCUUACCAAGGCAACGAUCUCUAGCUGUUCUGAGAGGAAGAUCAGCCACACUGGGACUGAGACACGGCCCAGACUCCUACGGGAGGCAGCAGUGGGGAAUAUUGCACAAUGGGGGAAACCCUGAUGCAGCCAUGCCGCGUGUGUGAAGAAGGCCUUCGGGUUGUAAAGCACUUUCAGUUGUGAGGAAAAGUUAGUAGUUAAUACCUGCUAGCCGUGACGUUAACAACAGAAGAAGCACCGGCUAACUCCGUGCCAGCAGCCGCGGUAAUACGGAGGGUGCGAGCGUUAAUCGGAAUUACUGGGCGUAAAGCGCACGCAGGCGGUUUGUUAAGCUAGAUGUGAAAGCCCCGGGCUCAACCUGGGAUGGUCAUUUA